rnacentral:rRNA from 1 species
UACGAAGGGGGCUAGCGUUGUCCGGAAUUAUUGGGCGUAAAGAGCUCGUAGGCGGUCUGUCGCGUCGGCUGUGAAAACCCGGGGCUCAACCCCGGACUUGCAGUGGGUACGGGCAGACUAGAGUGUGGUAGGGGAGACUGGAAUUCCUGGUGUAGCGGUGAAAUGCGCAGAUAUCAGGAGGAACACCGAUGGCGAAGGCAGGUCUCUGGGCCACUACUGACGCUGAGAAGCGAAAGCAUGGGGAGCGAACAGG